rnacentral:rRNA from 1 species
AGUGAACGCUGGCGGUAGGCCUAACACAUGCAAGUCGAACGGCAGCACAGAGGAGCUUGCUCCUUGGGUGGCGAGUGGCGGACGGGUGAGGAAUACAUCGGAAUCUACUCUGUCGUGGGGGAUCACGGAGGGAAACUUACGCUAAUACCGCAUACGACCUACGGGUGAAAGCAGGGGAUCUUCGGACCUUGCGCGAUUGAAUGAGCCGAUGUCGGAUUAGCUAGUUGGCGGGGUAAAGGCCCACCAAGGCGACGCGCCGUAGCUGGUAUGAGAGGAUGAUCAGCCACACUGGAACUGAGACACGGUCCGGACUCCUACGGGAGGCAGCAGUGGGGAAUAUUGGGCAAUGGGCGCAAGCCUGAUCCAGCCAUACCGCGUGGGUGAAGAAGGCCUUCGGGUUGUAAAGCCCUUUUGUUGGGAAAGAAAUCCAGCUGGCUAAUACCCGGUUGGGAUGACGGUACCCAAAGAAUAAGCACCGGCUAACUUCGUGCCAGCCGCCGCCGUAA